GUGGGGAAUUUUGGACAAUGGGCGCAAGCCUGAUCCAGCAAUGCCGCGUGCAGGAAGAAGGCCUUCGGGUUGUAAACUGCUUUUGUACGGAACGAAACGGUCCGGGUUAAUACCCUGGGCUAAUGACGGUACCGUAAGAAUAAGCACCGGCUAACUACGUGCCAGCAGCCGCGGUAAUACGUAGGGUGCAAGCGUUAAUCGGAAUUACUGGGCGUAAAGCGUGCGCAGGCGGUUUUGUAAGACAGGCGUGAAAUCCCCGGGCUCAACCUGGGAAUUGCGCUUGUGACUGCAAGGCUGGAGUGCGGCAGAGGGGGAUGGAAUUCCGCGUGUAGCAGUGAAAUGCGUAGAUAUGCGGAGGAACACCGAUGGCGAAGGCAGUCCCCUGGGCCUGUACUGACGCUCAUGCACGAAAGCGUGGGGAGCAAACAGGAUUAGAAACCCGGGUAGUCC
rnacentral:rRNA from 1 species